rnacentral:ribozyme from 16 species
GGCAGGAGCUGGAGGAAGCUCCUGCCUCCCCGCACAGGGGCGGGGGUGGGGGCAACGGGGACGGGGGCGGUGGGACAUGGCAAUGGGAAAGGCAGAGAGAACGGUUCC